GGAUAUUCUGAGAUCCUUUUGCUUUU
rnacentral:piRNA from 1 species